rnacentral:rRNA from 1 species
AGCGAACGCUGGCGGCAGGCCUAACACAUGCAAGUCGAACGAAGUCUUCGGACUUAGUGGCGGACGAGUGAGUAACACGUGGGAACGUGCCUUUAGGUUCGGAAUAACUCAGGGAAACUUGUGCUAAUACCGAAUGUGCCCUUCGGGGGAAAGAUUUAUCGCCUUUAGAGCGGCCCGCGUCUGAUUAGCUAGUUGGUGAGGUAAAGGCUCACCAAGGCUACGAUCAGUAGCUGGUCUGAGAGGAUGACCAGCCACAUUGGGACUGAGACACGGCCCAAACUCCUACGGGAGGCAGCAGUGGGGAAUCUUGCGCAAUGGGCGAAAGCCUGACGCAGCCAUGCCGCGUGGAUGAUGAAGGUCUUAGGAUUGUAAAAUCCUUUCACCGGUGAAGAUAAUGACUGUAGCCGGAGAAGAAGCCCCGGCUAACUUCGUGCCAGCAGCCGCGGUAAUAC